rnacentral:rRNA from 1 species
UACGGGGGGGGCAAGCGUUGUUCGGAAUUACUGGGCGUAAAGGGCUCGUAGGUGGCCAACUAAGUCAGACGUGAAAUCCCUCGGCUUAACCGGGGAACUGCGUCUGAUACUGGAUGGCUUGAGUUCGGGAGAGGGAUGCGGAAUUCCAGGUGUAGCGGUGAAAUGCGUAGAUAUCUGGAGGAACACCGGUGGCGAAGGCGGCAUCCUGGACCGACACUGACACUGAGGAGCGAAAGCCGGGGGAGCAAACGGG